rnacentral:rRNA from 1 species
GUCCACGCUGUAAACGAUGAGAACUAGAUGUUAAUUGGCUUCGGUUAAUUAGUAUCGCAGCUAACGCGUUAAGUUCUCCGCCUGGGGAGUACGGCCGCAAGGUUAAAACUCAAAGGAAUUGACGGGGCCCGCACAAGCGGUGGAGCAUGUGGUUUAAUUCGAUGCAACGCGAAGAACCUUACCUACCUUUGAAUCCACGGAAUCUUGCAGAGAUGCGAGAGUGCCUUCGGGAACCGUGAGACAGGUGCUGCAUGGCUGUCGU